AGAGCGAACGCUGGCGGCAGGCUUAACACAUGCAAGUCGAGCGGGCGUAGCAAUACGUCAGCGGCAGACGGGUGAGUAACGCGUGGGAACAUACCUUUUGGUUCGGAACAACACAGGGAAACUUGUGCUAAUACCGGAUAAGCCCUUACGGGGAAAGAUUUAUCGCCGAAAGAUUGGCCCGCGUCUGAUUAGCUAGUUGGUGAGGUAAUGGCUCACCAAGGCGACGAUCAGUAGCUGGUCUGAGAGGAUGAUCAGCCACAUUGGGACUGAGACACGGCCCAAACUCCUACGGGAGGCAGCAGUGGGGAAUAUUGGACAAUGGGCGCAAGCCUGAUCCAGCAAUGCCGCGUGAGUGAUGAAGGCCUUAGGGUUGUAAAGCUCUUUCGCCCGCGACGAUGAUGACGGUAGCGGGAGAAGACGCCCGGCUAACUCGCGCCAGCAGCCGC
rnacentral:rRNA from 1 species